CUUGCUUCCAGCUCUUUGGGAAACUAAGAAACAACUCGCUCUGCGCAGUGCUCUUACAGCCUACCGGGAACAUCUCUCACAAAGGCCUGUGAAACGCAGUUUAUUCCCAGCCCUGAUCUCUCUGAAGUAGAACUUGUGUGCUGCCAUGUCCUACAUUGCCCUAGAGGUUCAAGGAACAAUGUCCUGCCUUGAUUUCUCAAGGGGAGACAGGCCACAAAGCGUCUUUCUUCCAGCUAUUGGGAAGCUAAGAAACAACUCGCUCUCCUCAGUGCUCUUACAACUGACGGCGAACAUCUCUGACAAAGGCCUGUGAAACGCAGUCUCUUCCCAGCCCUGAUCUCUCUCAAGUAAAACUUCUGCUCUGCUGUGUUCUACAUAGCCCUAGAGGUGCAAGGAACAGUGUCCUGCCUUGUUUCCUCAAGUGGAGACAGGAAAUAACGUGUCUUGCGUCCAGCUCUUUCUGAAGCCAGGAAACAACUUGCUCUCCACAGUGCUCUUACAGCAUACUGGGAACAUCUCCUACAAAGGCCUGUGAAACGCACUUUCUUCCCAGACCUCAUCUCGCUCAAGUAGGACUUCUGCUAAGCCGUGCAAAACAUUGCCCCAGAGGUGGAAGUCCCAAACACUGCCUGGCAUCCUCAAGAGGAGACAGGCCACAGACCAUCUUGCUUCCAGCUCUUUCGCAAUGUGACAAAGAACUCGUUUUCACCUGGGCUGUUACAGCCUACUGUGAACCUCUAAUCCAAAGACCUGGAAUGCAGUUUGUUUCCAGUCCAGAUCUCGCCAGCUUGGAAAUUCAUCUCUAAGUCGUGUUCUACAUUGCUCUAGAGGUGGAAGUGACAAACCCCUGAGUCAUUGCCUCCAAAGGAGACAAGCCACAAACGGUCUUGCUUCCAGCUCUUUGGGAAGCUAAGAAACAACUUGCUCUCCACAGUGAUCUUACAGCCCAACGGGAACAUCUAUACAAAGGCCUGUGAACCGCAGUUACUUCCAUCCCUGAUCUCGCUGAAGUAGAAAUUCUGCUCUGCCGUGUCCUACAUUGCCCUAGAACUGAAAGGCACAACGUGCAGGCUUCUUUCCAAAGGGCGAGUUGGGCCCCACAGCAUCUUGCUUCCAGCUCUUUGGGAAGCUAAGAAACAACUCGCUCUGCACAGUGCUCUUACAGCCUACCGGGAACAUCUCUUCCAAAGGCCUGUGAAACGCAGUUUCUUUGCAGGCCUGAUCUGGCUGAAGUAGGACUUCUGCUCUGGGUGUGCUACAUUGCCCUAGAGCUGAAAGGCACAACGUGCAGGCUUUCUUUUUCAAAGGGCGAGUUGGGCGCCACAGCAUCUUGCUUCCAGCUCUUUGGGAAGCUAAGAGACAACUCGCUCUGCACAGUGCUCUUACA
rnacentral:lncRNA from 1 species